CUAGCAUGGUAUCACAGUGAUGCCCGACUCUCUACAAGUCUCUCUUGGGUAAAGUUUAUUUUACUCUUAAGGGCAUGUGCUCUCACUCUUCUAUUCAUUGGAUUCGUUUUGAAAAAUGUGCAAACAUAUAUCUCUCUUGGUUAAUCACAAGGCUUUUCCCACUCCUCGCGAAUCAGACGAGACCCUGCAUGCCAUGCCAAGACCUCCCCCGCAAAGCAGUUUGUUCAGUCCAUCUCCGGUUCCUCCAAAAUUUGUUGAAUUGGCGCAGCAAGCAUGCAGGGGCUCUGAAACGAAUUGGAGGAGAAAGAGCUCCGUGCCCCUCAAAAUUAAAGAAGAGCUAGGUAGGUACUGCAUCUGUUUUCCUGUCAAAACCAUUUCUAUAUCAACUAGCUGCAAACAAUAAUAAUAAUAACUCUAGCUGAUAGAUCUAUAUAUACGACGACUUAGCUUUAGUUUCUUUUUGAACUAUUCAACCAUCCAACUUAUAAAAAACUAUCAACUUAAUUAUAAAAACAUUAGCUGAUCCAAAUGGGCCAUCAAUGACUCCUUUUCCACGUAUGUGCCUAGCGGGCUGGGCCAAAUACCUUGCCAUGUUUGUGCAGGAAGUUGAGAGCAUUAAUUUGUUACAGGUAAAAACCAUACUAGAAUAUAUCGCUGUUUUGCACACUUUAAUUUGAUCUUACCCCGGCCUUGAUGUUUUUGUAAUGGUUGUUGUGUGCAUCGGGUUCAUCAAAGUGACUACGUAUGUACUUCAUACACCUUGAAUGUGUUUCACUUUUCAUUGCUAAAUUAAAUCUUAGCAUCCAAGCCAAAGAAUUAAUCAACUUCCAACCUUUCUUCUCCAUAUACGU
rnacentral:lncRNA from 1 species